UACGGGGGGGGCAAGCGUUGUUCGGAAUUACUGGGCGUAAAGGGCUCGUAGGUGGCCAACUAAGUCAGACGUGAAAUCCCUCAGCUUAACUGGGGAACUGCGUCUGAUACUGGAUGGCUUGAGUUUGGGAGAGGGAUGCGGAAUUCCAGGUGUAGCGGUGAAAUGCGUAGAUAUCGGGAGGAACACCAGUGGCGAAGGCGACUUCCUGGCCUGUUCUUGACGCUGAGGCGCGAAAGCUAGGGGAGCAAACGGG
rnacentral:rRNA from 1 species